rnacentral:lncRNA from 10 species
UUAUAAAAGUUGACCUGGCAUUAUUAUAUCAGAGCCAUAUCCUAGUAGAACUGCUAAGCUUUAAAGAGAAAGAAAAAAAUCCAUAUGGCCUUUUGGAGGAAACAUAAAAUAGCUUGAAAGGAGAAGAGGAUUUGGCUGACAUUGGAUUUCUCAACAACAACAUAUAAAGCAAGACGUGAGUGAAGCAGCUCUUUGAGAAGCUUGAGAAAAUGCAAGUCAAGAACUUUAUAUCUAGCCAAGCUGUUCUUCAAAUGUUAACAAUAUAGAAAAGCAGUUUUGAAGACGAAAGAACACAAGAAUACUGUGCCCACGUGUCCUUUCUGACGAAUCCACUGCAGAAUUAAGUGUACUUUAUUCAACUAAGAGCUGACUGCAGACACUUCAGCAGGAGGAUUGAAGCUACCCAUCAAAUAAGAGAACCCAUUGCAGAACCAGAAGGGACAUCAUCCAAGCUGUCUGAAAUCCCGGUUGGUACUCCAGGCUUCAACAACUGCAGCACAAUGAGAGACAGCAAAGAACAUCCUGGCCUUUGACAACCCCCUGUCUUCUAACAUACUGAGGUUAAUCAGACCGAGGACAAUUUGGAAGGGGCUCUCUGCCACAACUUGGGGAGUGGAGACAGGACGGGGGAGGAGCCAAGAUGACCGAAUAGGAACAGCUUCGGUCCACAGCUCCCAGCGUGAGCGAUGCAGAAGACGGGUGAUUUCUGCAUUUCCAACUGAGGGACAUGGAUGAAACUGGAAACCAUCAUUCUCAGCAAACUAUUGCAAGGACAGAAAACCGAACACCCCAUGUUCUCACUCAUAGGUGGGAAUUGAACAAUGAGAACACAUGGACACAGGAAGGGGAACAUCACACACCGGGGACUGUUGUGGGGUGUGGGGAGGGGGGAGGGAUAGCAUUAGGAUAUAUACCUAAUGCUAAGUGACGAGUUAAUGGGUACAGCACACCAACAUGGCACAUGUGUAUAUAUGUAACAAACCUGCAUGUUGUGCACAUGUACCCUAAAACUUAAAGUAUAAUAAUUAAAAAAAAAAAAAGACAGGACGAUAAUACACAUUUGGUGAUACAAUUAAGAAACAUGAUAUUGGAAAGUUGCUGACCAAGUGCCACCUAGCAUUCCUUCUCUUGUACUAGCCACAUGCCCACUCCUCAUGGCUACUGCUAGCCUCAUCUAAGAACUGGGGACCCAGCCUGGCAGGAUAAGUGUGGCUCCAUGCUUUAAGCCAGAGAAUUUAGGAGACUAUGAUCUGUUGCUGUGUCAAUCUGAAAGCUGAGGGAUCUGAAGGGUACGUGGUACCCAUUCUCUGACUCUCACUCCCAAAAGUCCUUUUCUCCCUGGGUCAACAUACGGUUGGUGCCCAAGGCCCUUCCUAGGAAUUGGAAGCCAACAGUGACACAAAGCACUUAGGAGGCACACAACCACAAAUGUGUGAGGUUUGCCUUCCCAUAUUUUCUGGACCCAUGUUCAAGCCUGGAACUCUCUAGUUCAUAAAGGGUUUUACUCUUGCAGGAGUCAGCAAACUAUGGCCUGUGGGUGGAGGGCCAGAUGGGGCCAUGCUCAUUCAUUUACAUACUGUCUAAUGGUUGCUCAAAAAUCACAGAGUUGAGUAACUAAGACAGACUGGAAGGCCCACACAGGCAAAAAAUGUACUAUCCGGACAUCCACAUAAACAGUUUGCAGGCCACUGAUUUAGAGUAAGACCAGUUCUCCUGGGGGCAAUGGAUUGUCUUUCUUUGCUUUCAGCCUGACCAAUGCCCGUGGGUAGGGAUGGAGAGGGAGCCCAUCUCUCUAGUUGAUUCUGAUGAGAAGAACCAGGGUGACCCACCUGGAAUGUGAGCCUCUGAUCUUCCAGGCAUCUGGCAUGCCCAUUUCUUCCACAGAGCAGGAUAGAAGCUCCUCCCAGCAGGGGGUCUUGACUAUUUGAGACCACUGUAAAAGAAAAGUAAGAACAAGUGAUUCACGUUUGUGUUUCCUGUAAAAAGAACAUGGUUGUCAGUGCUAUUAACCUGGUUACCACUGACUUUGACGCAGAUACAGCCGGUUCAUGUUUCAGAACUUCAUGAAACAGGCCUGUGCCUUCAAUCAGAGGCAGCCCAAAAGACAAAAUUGCCAACACUUUCUAUUUGCAGUGGCCCAGGAAUUAUCAAAUAACCUUAGUUCCUAUUAAACUCCUGCCUAUUUACCAUUGCCUAAACCUGGAGGCAAAAUCUAAAUCCAAACCAUCACAGGUAAUCUCCAAUCUCACAUACUUUUCCAAAAGAUUCAUGUGUUAGGAAAGGAUGAUUGAUGGCUCAAAAGUCACCAG